rnacentral:lncRNA from 1 species
AGGCUUAAAAAAAUGACUAUUCCAAAUUAACUACAACAUGCAACCAUUGUGUAUAACUGGUUGGGUUGUUGUGGUGGCUUAUUUCAAUGUAGAAUUAAACCACAUCCUUUCAAGUUAAAUUUUUUUAAAAAGUAAAAAAUCCUCUCGCCCUGAAUAACUUAAUCCAAGCUUCGUAUCCACCACUAAAGUUCAGAUUUGGAUGACUUGGCUCCCAAUAAGCAUUUGAUUCCCACGCCUGAUUUCAGUUUCUCAACCGGAUUCCCAUUCCACCUUUGCCUCAUCCACCUGAAUCUCUGCAUUGAUCUCUCCUUUAUAAAGAAACAAACCUACAAUGCUCUUGUCCAUCCUCGGAAGAUGUUCACUCUCCAUGUCGAACCUUUGGAGGAAUUGGGCUUCCACUUUCCCUUCCGAUGGAAUUCGAGUUUCUUGUGCUCAGGCUGCUCCUUAACUACAGUGCUACUUCCGAACUCCGAGGGUCCAUCUGGCUUCAAGUGAACCCAGUAACCAAGUGUG